rnacentral:lncRNA from 1 species
AGAGUUCCUUCCUAGCUGCCUGUGAAUCAACAUGUAGAACUCUCAGCUCCUUCUCCAGCAUCAUGUCUGCCUGGAUGCUGCCUUGCUUACUGCCAUAAUAAUGGAUUGAACCUCUAAAAAUCUUGUCUGAAGAUCUGAGAAGAUGAACCACCAUUUUAAGAUGACGCUCAGAGCAGAUAAGCAAGAGGAAGACACCAAAUACGUUCUUUAAGGGCCCAGAUGAUGUUGAUGUUCAGGGUUUCCAAUCUGAAAACAGCAGCUGAGGCCAUGAUGCACUUGGGGCAAAAAGCAAAGACAGAAAAACCUGAAUGACAGUUCAGGAGCUUCCUGAGCAGUGCAAAGCCAUCUAUCUGACUCCUACAACUGUCGUAAUAAGAACUGCCAUCACAGGAGGUGACUUUGCUGAUGAAAAUUGGGAAUGUAUUAACAGUAGUCACACUUAACAGCUACAUCUGUGGGGUUUGCCAGAUGUAAUACAUUUUGAAUAAAGUUGAUCACCAUUGCUUCUUAUUGAUAGGUUGAGCUACCAAAUAAGGAAGCUGAUUUUAAUAUGCAUCCCCAUUGAACUUAAACUGACCACCAAGCUUAUAAUCUCCAGCUGUAGAGACGAGGACACAAAGGGUUAAGUAACCUCCCCAAGUCAUACAAGCAGCCAUGUUGCUGUGACAGAAAGCAUUAUGCAUUCAGGGUCUUGGAGGAGGAAACGUCGCUUCUCAAACAUUCAGCC